rnacentral:rRNA from 1 species
AUGCCAAUGUUCAGAAACAAUAUUUUGAUGUUGCUGUUGUUAUUCUUGUUGUGGUUACCUGAAAUGUUGAUACUCUACUUUUUUGAAGCGCUUGUUUCCUAUUUAUGUCCAGCCCUGUUUAUGGUAACUUGUUGUUUAAUUUACAAUGCUGCUUUUCAGAGAAGUGAGAUGGCUAGCUUGGAAGGUUUCAAGUUCUUCGAGAUCGUAAUUGAGAAAUCUUGCAGUAGGCAGAGGCUGCCUGACAAGUUUGCAAAGAUGCUCGCCGGCCGUGAGCCUGCCGGCAGCGGGCUUCGCAGGCUGUGGGACGUGUUGGUGGUGUUCGAUGGUGAAGGCCACAUGUACCCAGGGCCCGGCUGGGAGCAGUUCGCCCGCGCCCAUGAGCUACAGCUCGGGCACUUCCUUGUCUUCCGCUACGACGGCGACGCCAUGUGCACCGUGAAGAUGUUUGACAACACCAUGUGCCGCAUGUACUACCAGCACGACGAUGAUGCCAGCAAUGGGAGCAGCAGCGAGGAUGACGACGAGCAGAGCGGGGAUGACGAGGAGUAG